rnacentral:rRNA from 1 species
UACGUAGGUGACCAGCGAUGUCCGGAUUUACUGGGCGUAAAGAGCGCGCAGGCGGUCGUUCAAGUCGAGUGUGAAAGCCCCCGGCUCAACUGGGGAGGGUCAUUCGAUACUGAUCGACUUGAAGGCAGGAGAGGGAAGUGGAAUUCCCGGUGUAGUGGUGAAAUGCGUAGAUAUCGGGAGGAACACCAGUGGCGAAGGCGACUUCCUGGCCUGUUCUUGACGCUGAGGCGCGAAAGCUAGGGUAGCAAACGGG